rnacentral:lncRNA from 1 species
CUUCAGGAUUUUUCUGCUCUUACGUAAGCCACUGCCUGUGUAUGCAUUGCCUGACCCUCUCUGCAUCAUCUGGUGGAUAUUGGGGCUUGAGGACAAAAGCUGACACUCCAAGUACCCAUGGCUCAUUUCUCCAUCAAGUCUGUGUUCAAACUUAAACUUCUUGUAGAUGCUUAAAGACCCAUUAAUUUUGAGACUAUCAUCAUCGCAAUCUUUAUCCCCCUUACCAUGCUCACUUCUCCCCCCCACCCAGUGCUUAUCACAUUUUCCAUGUAUCAUUUGCUUCCUUAUUUUAUUGUUCAUCAUCUUUCUCCCUCAUCUUCUUGGAGAUAGAGAUCUUUUCCUUUUUAGAUCACCCAUGUAUUCCUAGUGUCUAAAACAGUGUCUGACACAUAGCAGAUGCUCAGUAACUGUGAAAACAAUGAGUAGAUUCACCUUUUAUUCUAUUCUACUACCAGCUUGUUUUAAUUCUGCCAUGAAAAUUCUCCAUGCACAUUAAAGUUUUGAAAAUUCAUUCAAAACAAAAUAGGUGUCAAAUGAAUUUCUGGUAUUAUUUUUAUUUUUCACUGAUUACAUUUUACACAUUUGACAAAGCUUGAAAUAAGUGUAUGGUCAUGAAUAGAAAUUUCUACUUUCUUCCCCUCUGUUCCAUGCAUGUUGAUCCCAAGGGCACUUUUUCAUGAAUAUUCUGCCUGCUAAACUCCAUCUAAGAAUUUUCUUCACAGGAAACCCGAACUGACCAGAGAUACUCAAUAUCAGGAAGGUUUUGAGCAAGCAGGUCUAAGAUGGGUUUUGGAACUGCAUUACGCACUGCCUGCUGGCAAAGAGGACCCAUAGCUGGUAGAGGGUAGAAUGCAGGUAGCCCCCUGAAUCGUCAAAUUGUUAAAAAUUUUACCAGUAGUGAGUUGGUAUGUAUGCAAGUGAAAGGCUGAAUCAGCUGGUGUAAUGAACCACAAGUGUGAGAAAUAUGGGAGAAAUAGUAAGUUUAGGGACAGUGAGAUGCUAAAAUGACUCAGCCCUUCCUAUUCAAACGAGCUGCUCUUUUGUGCUUUGAGUUAAUAAAGAGGUUUCUCCUAAGCAAGAUAACAUGUUCCUUUUUCAGAAUCGAUUCCUAUUCCCCACUUAGUCCCUGAGUCUAUAGCUUGGCUUAAAUCACAAAAUAGCCCGGCUGGAGAAUGUGGUGCACCUGAUAGCAGAGGAAAAUGACUCUAUCCCAAAGGACAUGCAGGACCUUUCCAGUGCUGACAAAAGGCAGGAAAGUAUGUGUGUUGGAUUAAACUCAGGGUAUUGGAUCAAGAGGGCCAGUGCAUAAAGUUGGAUAAAGGAGAGUUUGACAACUUGAGAUCACUCUCCCAGAAUACUGGACUUAACACUUAGAUAAUGACCCUGGGAGAUGGUACAAGUUUCUUAAUAGUAUGUCUUCUAGAAGCAUGGGAUAAGUGAGGUUGAGAUGGCCUGUGCUAACUGAAGUUUGAAUAGCAGAUAUGGCUUUAAGGCAGAGACUACAAACAUGUUUAAAGGUUCAGGGAAGCAUGUAGACUAUGUAAGGCCAAAAGACAUGCCUUUUGGUGAUUAUGUGCCACUGGAAGUCCCUGAGGUUGUACAUUUACCAAAGCUAUAAAGAAUGCUGUUAGGAGGGACACUAGCAUCACUGAGACUAGUGGUGUUGUUUCUCUUAAGGACAAGGCUGAUGAUGAAAGUGAACUAGGAUUACUAAUAGCAAAAAGGUUGAUAGACUUGGAAAAACAGAGGUGACUUGAUGGGGUUAUCUGUGGGAAGUCAGGUAGAUGCAAUUUUCAUAUUUAAUGACAAAGUAGAAGGAGAAACAGAACUUAAAAAAUUUGAUAGAACACAAAGACCCUAGGAACAAAAUGAGUGAUCAGUAAACAAAGACACAUUCAAUUUGUAACAUCAAAAGAAACUAAAUGUAGAUGAUUAUGAGUUCAAGGGCAAUUGUCUAAUUUUCUUCCCAAUUUCUAUUUCUGAGCCAGUUUUUGGAUCCAGAGUCCACUGAUUAAAGAAAAAUCUGCCUUCCUUGGAAUAAUGGCCCUGAAAGAUUAUGGCACGUAUACUGAUUAAAGGUUCCCAUCCUUCCUCAAAGGGACUUAUGGCUAUUUACUUGGAUAGAAUUGUACAGUAGGUGCAGGUGAAUGCACAAACAUUUCAAAGACUACAAUGCACAGAAUCUGAGUUAUCACUAACAUGUGGAACCUGAGAGCGUCAUCAUAAGCUUCUGCUAGAAAGCUGGUGCAUAUGGGACAAGUGACCAGCUCCCAUCCAGAAGGCCAUCAAAAGUCACCUUAUUAGAACAAAAGACUCUGCUGUCACCCAGGAAAUCCCAAAGGAAUUAGGAGCCUUGUGUCAGAAACUGUGCCAAAGACCAAAUGUAAGAACGAAAGAUGCUCCUAGUGCCUUUUUUUGAGACUUAUUUUACAUAUAGUUUAGAUUCAUGCACGUUGCAUGUUUGAUGUUUUUUUUAAUUUUUAUACAAGCAAAUAAAUAGGGAGUUUCCAUCAUGGCUCAGUGUUAGCAAAUCCAACUAGGAUUCAUGAGGAUGCAGAUUUGACCCCUGUCCAACCUCAGUGAUUUAAGGAUCCUGCAUUGCUGGGAGCUGUAGUUGCAGCCUUGGCUCAGAUCCACCAUUACCGUGGCUGUCUAGCCUGGGAACUUCCACAUGCCUGGGGUGUGGCCCUAAAAAGCCUGAUGAGCUCCAAGGUGGUGACUAAGAGACUGCCAUGUGGUAAGUACUCAGUGCAUAUUUUACAAAUCAUCAAAUGAAUAAAGUCAAUUAGGUGUAAAGGCAUUUCAAGAAGGAGGAACUACAUGGAAAACCCUGAAAGUUUGAGAUUGCAUAGUUAUUUGAUGUAACUCUAAGUAGUUCAAUGGAAUUAGCUACACUAAAGAAUAUUAACGUUGGUCAAUAUAUGAAGGAAAUCAUUUAAAUUGGCUAAUAUGUGUAACUACUCAGAAUAAAGCCUUGCAUGUUGGACCUAUUCUCUGGGUUGAUGGGUAGUGGCUAAGCAGGUCUCAGUUUCCCAGAGGCUGAUAAGCCCUGGUUUCUCCAGCCUCUGACUUGUGAAUCAGCUGGAGAGAAUACAGCAGAGAGGAUAGGGGCUCACAUCCUGAAGACAGUUGGCCAUAUGCAGCAGAGUGUGUGUAAGCAGAGAGAGAUUUUAGUGGUUGUGGAACAGGUCUGUAAUCCUGCCUCUCCACUAGACAGCCAGGUAGGAUUAGACAGGUAGGCUUUGGAUUUCCCAGAGACUCAUUAUGAUUUGUAAUACAAGUUUAGUUAAUGAAAUGGUGAGAAAAAUAUCUCCUGCAUCUGUUUUGGUGAAUUUCUUUCAUUUUUCUAAAUAAUAUGAACCAAUGUACUAUCUUUGACGAAUACCAUUUGCAUUGUGGAAGGGAGUAAUUUGUUUAUCAGAUAUAGAGCAAAUCAGCAUCUCUCUCAGGCUAGAGGUGGACUGUUUUCUAGCAGGUGGAAACUAGCAUACCUAACAUCUAUGCUGGGCUAUCCCCCAGGUCCACUCUUUUCUCUUGCCCUGCAGCACUGGCCUCUGUAGGCCGAUUGCCCAGGCUUCAGGGGCAGCAAACCUGCAGCUGACUGCAGCCAAUGGGAGGUGCUGCUGGAAAGUGCAGGGUGAUAUUGGGGCUGGCAAAGGGGUGGUUAAGCAGGAGAUGAAAACACUGGAGUGUUUUCCCUCCUUCUCUUUCUCCUCCUGGUGCAGUUCUAAGGUGGGGACAGUGCUUUCUCUGUGGCUCCAGCUCUCAGUGGGCAGUCCUUGCCCCCAGUGAACAGUCCCUGCCAUGAUUCCAGCCUCAUGGGGAUGUGAUUCUGGCUCUUGCCCUCCACUAACGGUCCCUCUUCUCUUUGUCUCUCCUGCCUAUGGGUGGUAAUAGCUUCAUGUUGGUCCUAAUACCUGGAAUUACUCACCAUCACCUAUUUGGCUUUCUAGCCAUCCAUCGUCCAUGUAGAAAAGACAUCUCUGUAAAAGAGUCCUUCUGUUGUAAAUACUUUUUGAGGACUCUUUCUGAUUAUGGCCUCAUUGAUAAAAUAUCCUAUAAAACAACAUAAAAAAAGACAUCUUUUCUUUUCCUUAAGUUGCACCAACAGGACCACAAAACUUUGUCUAAUCAUAACAGAAUUAGUCUUUACUACCUUAUAAGUCUGAUUUUGGGGAGUUGAGUAGAUUCUGCUAUACUGUAUUUUCAAUAGCUAGGCAUCCUUAGGAAGAAUAAUUGGAACUACAGGAAUGGAGGAGUUCCCUUUGUGGCUCAGCAGUAACAAACCUGACUAGCAUCAAUGAGGAUGUGGGUCCAAUCCCUGGCCCUGCUCAGUGGGUUAAGAUCUGGUGUUGCUGUGAGCUGUAGUGUCGGUUGCAGACACGGCUCAGAUUUAGUGUGGAUGUGGCUGGGGCAUAGGCUGGCAGCUAUAGUUCUGAUUCAAUCCCUAGCCUGGGAACUUCCAUAUGCCACAGAUACAGCCCCUAAAACGCAAAAAAAAAAGAAAAAAAA